rnacentral:piRNA from 1 species
UGGGGGAUAAUGUCGACAUUUCCACUC